rnacentral:rRNA from 1 species
UCUUACGUGGAUAACUGUGGUAAUUCUAGAGCUAAUACAUGCACCAAAGCUCUGACCUUGCGGAAAGAGUGCAUUUAUUAGAGCAAAACCAAGCGGCUUCGGUCGUUUUUUGCUGACUCAGAAUAACUUAGCUGAUCGCACGGUCUAUGAACCGGCGACGUGUCUUUUGAGUAUCUGCCUUAUCAAUUUUCGAUGGUAGUGUAUCUGACUACCAUGGUGUUGACGGGUAACGGAGAAUAAGGGUUCGACUCCGGAGAAGGGGCCUGAGAAAUGGCCACUACGUCUAAGGAUGGCAGCAGGCGCGCAAAUUACCCACUCUCGGAAUGAGGAGGUAGUGACGAGAAAUAACGAGACCGUUCUCUAUGAGGCCGGUUAUCGGAAUGGGUACAAUUUAAACCCUUUAACGAGUAUCUAUGAGAGGGCAAGUCUGGUGCCAGCAGCCGCGGUAAUUCCAGCUCUCAAAAUGCAUAGAACCAUUGCUGCGGUUAAAAAGCUCGUAGUUGAAUUUAUGCUAAAGGCUUGGUCCGCUCUUUGAGUGUGUACUAGGUUCUUUGGCUUUUAUCGUCGGUUUUCUUGUCGUGGCCUUUAUUGGUGGCGGCAAGUGGCUGACAAUUUUACUUUGAACAAAUCAGAGUGCUUAACACAGGCGUUUCGCUUGUAUGCUUUUGCAUGGAAUAAUAGAAUAUGACUUCGGUCUAGUUUUAUUGGUUUUAUAGAUCGUUGUAAUGAUUAAAAGAGACAAACGGGGGCAUUCGUAUUGUUGCGUGAGAGGUGAAAUUCUUGGACCGCAGCAAGACGACCUACAGCGAAAGCAUUUGCCAAGCUGUCUCAUAAUCAAGAA